CCUUAACAUUAAUGCUUUUGCAAUUCAAGCAACAAGAAGAAACUCACUAGCAUCUGCAAAUGCUGGUUCCAAAUGCUUGACAGUUGGGGGAGAAUAUGACUGGCUAAGCUUAGUCAAGUGACCACUCCUGGUCCAUUCAGCUACAUGCAGGGGUGGGAUCUUGAGGUUUAAAUAUGGCUGUGCGGUGAAGAGACGAUGGUCUCAGAGAAAGGAGAGAUGAGCUGGAGGUACUCUGCAGCUGGUGUCUUUUGCAAUCACAGGGUGAUUUCAGUGACAGUCUUAUAAACGACCAGAGCUAAUCUGAGAGUGUAUUGGUCUCACUCCUAAAACCAGAAGUCACCAUCCAGCCAACUUCAGGGCUCAAAAGCCAGGUGGGGGGUCUCUCCCCGGGUGCCCUGCCUUCCUGCCUCACCUUUUACGCAGCUCUAAGGAACGCUUGGCACAAACACUCUCCAACCUAAUUACCAGCCGGAAUUAAUCAAAGCAUCCUGCCACUUGCAGGAUCUUGGUUCCUGGACCAGUGACUGAACUCCGGUCCCAGCAGUGGAAGCACAGAGUCCUAACCACUGGACCACCAGAGGAUUCCUGGGGAUCCAUUUUUCUUCACCACCUCCUGCAAAACCCACCCCUCCCUCUGCUAUGGAUGCCAUCACCUCUCUGCCCGCACCCAGGGGUCUCCCCUCCAGCUCCGGAGCGCCUUCUCCUCCCUCUGCCUGCUUUGCCGCUGACAGCUAGAAGAUUCCAAGCCAACCAUUUUGUAGAAGGUCCCUCGUCUGGGUUUGUUUGAUGUUUCCCUUUGAUUAAAUUCAGGUUAUACAUUUUUGAGAGGAAAUCACAGUUUCAUUUCUUCACAUGAAAAUAUUGAAUCCAUUUGGAAUUAAUUUGGGUAUAAAUGAUAUAUUUUUCCUCACUUAUAUGAAACACCUCCUUUAUCAUAUAGCAAAUAUUUAAUUGCAUAUCUUUUAUCUUUCUGCUCUUCAAAGCCAGUGUCACACUGUUUUAAUUACCCUGGCUUCGUAAUAUGCACCCCCCAAACACGGUAAUGAGCAGAGUCCCCCUAAUCAUGCUUCUUUUCUCAGAAACUUCCUGGCUCUUCUCGCUCAUUAAAUCUUCCAGAUGCACCUUAGAAUCGUGUUAUCAAGUUCCUUAAAAAGUACCUUUGUGAUUUAGGUUGUCGAACUUUGAAAUCACUGUGGGCAAAACGGGCAGCUUUAAUACUAAACCUUCCAU
ensembl:lncRNA